CGGACGGGUGAGUAACGCGUGAGUAACCUGCCUUCAAGAGGGGGAUAACAUUCUGAAAAGAAUGCUAAUACCGCAUGACAUAUCGGAACCACAUGGUUUUGAUAUCAAAGAUUUUAUCGCUUGAAGAUGGACUCGCGUCCGAUUAGUUAGUUGGUGAGGUAACGGCUCACCAAGACCGCGAUCGGUAGCCGGACUGAGAGGUUGAACGGCCACAUUGGGACCGAGACACGGCCCAGACUCCUACGGGAGGCAGCAUG
rnacentral:rRNA from 1 species